rnacentral:rRNA from 1 species
AACGCUAGCUACAGGCUUAACACAUGCAAGUCGAGGGGCAUCAGGAAGAAAGCUUGCUUUCUUUGCUGGCGACCGGCGCACGGGUGAGUAACACGUAUCCAACCUGCCGAUGACUCGGGGAUAGCCUUUCGAAAGAAAGAUUAAUACCCGAUGGUAUAUCUGAAUGGCAUCUUUCAGCUAUUAAAGAAUUUCGGUCAUUGAUGGGGAUGCGUUCCAUUAGGUUGUUGGCGGGGUAACGGCCCACCAAGCCAUCGAUGGAUAGGGGUUCUGAGAGGAAGGUCCCCCACAUUGGAACUGAGACACGGUCCAAACUCCUACGGGAGGCAGCAGUGAGGAAUAUUGGUCAAUGGACGAGAGUCUGAACCAGCCAAGUAGCGUGAAGGAUGACUGCCCUAUGGGUUGUAAACUUCUUUUAUACGGGAAUAAAGUUAGGCACGUGUGCCUUUUUGUAUGUACCGUAUGAAUAAGGAUCGGCUAACUCCGUGCCAGCAGCCGCGGUAAUACGGAGGAUCCGAGCGUUAUCCGGAUUUAUUGGGUUUAAAGGGGGCGUAGGCGGAUGCUUAAGUCAGUUGUGAAAGUUUGCGGCUCAACCGUAAAAUUGCAGUUGAAACUGUUAGUCUUGAGUGUACAUAAGGUAGGCGGAAUUCGUGGUGUAGCGGUGAAAUGCUUAGAUAUCACGAAGAACUCCGAUUG